ensembl:lncRNA
GCAUCCUCUGCUUUUCUCCCAAAUCUGCUUUUACUUGGCUGACUCCUUUAUACAAGAUACAGGUUUCCUCUCCAUUGAGCUGCUCUUCAUCUGACAAGGCUUCCUUCCAUAAGCAAAAGAAUCCACUCCAGUUGAAAAUGCUCAUAAAGACUUCAACUAAUGAAUUCAGGAUAUCAAUUAGUUUUCUGAGUAGCUUUUUAAAGUUCACUCUUCACAUAAUUUUUAUACUAUGUAAGCAGUCCUUAACUCAUCUCAUCUUCUUUCACUUUUUUGAUUGUUAUUUGUUAUGCUUUAAGAUUAUGAAAAAGGACAAAUCUGUUUGCUUUAUAUUUGUGUGCCUUUAUAAAAAAAC